rnacentral:misc_RNA from 1 species
AUGAGAAGGUCCUCAAAGUUCCCAGUACCUUGCUGUGCGUCCUUGUAACCAUAUCGAACAAUGCAACGAUACAUGCGAUAUGAUCUUGGGCCAACACGACCAAUGAGGAAGCGCUCAUCGGAUGAGACAUGAGGUACAGGAACAGAUUUGACGCAUACAAACACCAUUACAUUAUGAAAUGCAGGGAGAUUUGUGACAAAGUGAGAGAAGAUAGGUGGAACUCCUGUUACCAGUUCAGAGUAUAUUAGCCCUAUCCCUGGGACGCGGACAAUACCAAGGCUUGGACCCAAGCCAAGGAUCCAUUUCAAUGGAACUUUGUUGUGCAGGUCAUAUUUGUACUUCUUGCAAGUUCCAUAGUGCCACACAAGCAUGAUGGCUAAGAGGAUAAAAGAGAGCAAAAGGGAUACCCAUCCUCCCUGUGGAGCCUUAAUGGCUGCGGAAGAUAGGUAGAGACCUUCGAUGAACCAGAAGAAAAGGAGAAAAGCAGCAGCAAAUACUAAACUUCUUUGCCACACAAAGAUUAUAACAAGUGUCAUGAGGAAUGUUGUG